CACGUAGGGUGCGAGCGUUGUCCGGAAUUAUUGGGCGUAAAGAGCUCGUAGGCGGUGUGUCACGUCGGCCGUGAAAACCUGCAGCUUAACUGUGGGCGUGCGGUCGAUACGGGCAUCACUGGAGUUCGGCAGGGGAGACUGGAAUUCCUGGUGUAGCGGUGAAAUGCGCAGAUAUCAGGAGGAACACCGGUGGCGAAGGCGGGGUCUCUGGGCCGAUACUGACGCUGAGGAGCGAAAGCGUGGGGGAGCAAACGGGAUUA
rnacentral:rRNA from 1 species